UGUUAGUAGGCACAUGGAGGUUAAUGAAAUGAAAUUGAUUAGAGAAAAAAGUAUUUAAGAGAACAAACACACACACACAAUAUAAGGCAUUGACUUGUUGCAUAUUAACAAUAAUAAUCUUACAUCCACACAGCACACACAAUUAAGCAUGUCAUCAUGAUUACAUCAAAACAUGCACUACAUUAUUCUUUCAUUUUCCCUCGGGAGGGAACCUAGUCCUAGAUUAAAUAUACAAGUGAGUUAAAUAAAGCAUUACAUUCUCUGCACAACCAUACAAAAACAAUGACAUUUCAUGUUUUAACUUGCAUUAGAUUUUAAAAACAAAAAAAAUACUACUUUUGUGGUUGUUUUGUGUGUGGGGCAAAAUAGCAAACAGUUGGCAGGCAAUGCAGAAAGGGAGGGAGAAAACAACAAUGAAAAAGACUUCAGGCAACAUUAAAUUGACAGAUGCAGAAAACAAACAGCAGUGACAAGAACAGAACAAAAUCAACAAGUGAGGGAGAGCGAGAGGGAGAGACGAUUGACAAAUCUUACCGAUCGGCGGCGCGUUACAGAGAGUGGNNNNNNNNNNNNNNNNNNNNNNNNNNNNNNNNNNNNNNNUUUAAGUAUCUGUUUGGUUUGGUGUUUUGAAGUCCCAAACGCGAGUUCCAAUUUCCAAACGUGAUUUGAUCAGUUUUUUGGAUGUUUGGAUAACUUGCAAACUCAAAUCUAUGGAACGUGAGUUUAGCCCGAAACGUGAGUUUUUCUAAAGCAAAAUCAAUUCCAGACAAUUAAUUGUCGGUGGCAUGUGAACUUACCUAUUUACCCAUAACUUUCUUCCUCUUCUUCACAAAUUUCUUCCAGUUCUUCACAUCACCCACAAACCAUACAUAUCUGUCUUUUUUUCUUCGCAAUUACACAAAUAUUGAGUGAUGCAAAAAUUGUAGAAUGAGAGAAGAAUAUUGAGAUAUUGAAGAAGCAGAAAUGGUAGAAGGAUGGGGAAAGAAAUAUUAAUAGCAGAAAGGGUAGAAGUGAUAGAAGGUUAAGGAGAAAUGGUGAAAGACAACGCGUGUGUUUGGUUCUGCGGUAGAGAGAAUUGAUUUUGGCAGAAUUGAUUCUGUAAAAUUGAUUCUGGCCAAAAUUGAUUUUAAGCUGAAGUGGUUUAUGUUUGGAUAUAUUCAUGAAAAAGUGAGUUGAACAAAAAAUUUGAGUGUAAAAAUCAAUUCUAGAAUCAGAAGCUACGAUUUCUAGCUUCAAGUAGAAUCAAUUCUGGAGGCAAAAUCAAUUCUACUUUUGAGAAACCAAACAAGUCAGAAUUAAUUCUACACGUCCAGAAUUGAAACCAAACAUACACA
rnacentral:lncRNA from 1 species